CUCCUAUGCUCCGCGUCAUUGCAAGUCUACCAUUCACGUGUGGUUGUCCCAAACUGUUCCAGGCAACGAAGCCACCAGACUUCCUAAUCCUGUCCAGAGGUACAAAAGAGAAAGCAAAUGUCCAACCUGGCAGCAGCACAGACUGACCGAAGCCCUUCCCCAAGAAGCCACAAUAUCAGCCACCAGUAGGGCACGGCUGUCUCCCACACUUGCCACAACCAACUGAAUACCAUCCUGGAGCAGGGCCACUGUCGCAGUGGUCCCAGAGUUCAUCAAAGUUGCUACAAAUAUCAUAUCAGAGAGAGACAGGGGUUUUAACACUGCCUUAAAGCAUGGGAGCAUUUACAAGACAGUAACAGUGCCAAUUGGUUAAACCAAAGACUUGUGCUCUACGUUACCAGUAAGUAACUGCUUUUAUGUUUAAACUAAAGCUAUAUAUCUAUUAAAAAUAUAGUGAGUAAACAUGCAUAUAGGACUUAGGUAGGGGAGAGAGAGAGGAAGUGGAAAAGAUAAGUAUUUCUGUGCAACAACAUGGCUCCAUGUAAAGAGGUCUAGUGGAGUAAAAGCAGUAUAAGGUGCAGAGGCUUCUUUUCAGCCUGUAGCAAAUCGAUUUUACUUUCCACUGGUUCUUCUCAAGAUACAGGAUUAUUGUCUUUAUCCCUGGGCACAGUGACUGCAUGGGUAGCCCACCAUAAAGCUGAUAGUUCUCUCCUUCUGCCAGGUGGUGAAGUGGGCAACUGAGUAAUUGUGAUUGUAGCUGCAUGUUGUUCAACAGAAGAGAACCUCCAGAUCGUUCCCUUACUGCAGUCUGUAGGGUUCUCCAGUUGCUGUCAGAAUUAAUAAUCUACUUCUAGUUACCCCAGGUUUGACAGGAGACAAAGGGUUCAGCCAGCAGGCACUGGCUUUUUUGAGAAAGGGACUCAGCUCUCUUCAGACCACACAGAUUUGUCAGAGGUCACAGUGCUAAGGCAGAGCUGGAUUCUGUUUUCCUUACAUUGGAAACAAGUGUGGUCACCUGGCAGUGGUGAUUGCCUCUGGGCAAUCUACCCUCAGCACAGGUGGGAUUACUUGGAUUUUUGCUGCCUAGAGGGCAAGCCAGAGCUCUAGCUACUGUCUUCCUCUUCUGAUAGGGCAAGGGAGUGAUCUUAUCUGUGUUUAGAGACCUGGUUGGAUUAACUGUUGAAUGCAAACCUUCUUGUUGCAACUUCUAAAAAAAAUUCAGGGGUGGGGAUGUGGGAGGGAACAUGCUUAAACAAGAAAAUACCAGUCUGCCUAAUUUCAGAAUAGAUGUGAGGUUUUAUCUGUGGUGAAGGAAAUGCCAAAAGAACUGCCUAGCUCUCAUUUUGGAUUUCGAUAUUUUUUGAAGGGAAGUGCGCCUUUGCAGCUAGUAUUACAUGCAACACUGGCUAAGGAGAGCUGCCUGGAAAACACUAAGUCCUGCUGAUUUGAGCUCUUCAAGUAAAACACCUGGCUGGGAACAGCAAUUGCCACAAAUUCACAGCCAAUGCAAAUCCCUUUGGAAAGUCCUCUGUAGGCCUAUUGCAGUCUGGGGUUUUCUAGAAAUUGGUUUUAAAAGUUAGCCCAUUGCACAGAGAACUUUUGUGUUAAUUUAGGAAUGAAAAUCCCCAGUUUAUAUUCCUACUUUCACAUGAGUAAUGGUUGAAGGUGUUCCCACCACUGCUUCUGUAGAACUCAGCAGCAACCACAUGCACUCCUCCUGUCCCUGGCCCUGCAGCACUGGCCCCCAGGGUGGUGGCAUGGACCUGAGACAGGACCGUACAAGGCCCUGAGAGAUGCAUGGAGCCUUGUUGUACGGUGAAAGCAGAGAGCUUGUGAAACAAAACAACCUCUCAAAACCAACUAAACUAAGCUUGAGUUAUUAUUUAAAACAGGUAUUAUUACUGCUGCGAUGGCUUGGUUAACCAACUUAAGCAACAAGUCGAUGGGAAACAUCCACCAUGGUAGUAUAGGACACAUCUUGGACUACGUUACAGUUGCGAUGCGGAAUACUGUAUUCAAAACCAUGUAGAUGCCUGUAGCCUCUGAGUAUGCAGGUCAGCACUGACAUCUUGCUUCUAAUUGGAAGCAAGGACUAGUCUGGUACAGGCUCACUUUGAGACAUGUUAUGAAAAUAAGGUAAUAACAAGUAGCAGUGUGAUCAGAAAUUUUAGUAGAGCCAGUAAAAUACCUGUUUUAGCCAACAGCUAAAAGAAGUGACAUGAAGAACCUACGUAAAACGACCUUGUUUAUUUCACAGAAAAUAGAUUUUAUAUAGACAUCAAAAUUAAUGCUGCUAGUCUCCCAUCUCAUUGCUUGUUUUGGAACUAUGCUGACAAAUGCAUAUGGUAUCAGAAAAGGUUACCAUCCGUAGUCAUUCAUUCAUGAUUGACUGCAAACAUUUGGUCAUUCAGGUGAAUCUGCAUCUUUACAGUGCCAACUAUCAAAGCCAAAAGAGCUGCUAUCAGGAAGCAGAGGGAUGGUACUUGAGAGCCAUCGAAGAUACCAUACAGAACUGCAGUAAUGGUCAUAGAGACUCGUUCCUUAGAAAUGUGUAUGAGUUAAAUGGCUCUUCGAGAAAAAUAAAUGCCACUCGUGCUCACUUGUCUGGGACCGAUUCAUGGUCUGAGUAAGGUUGGAAGAAUGUGGAUCUAAUAAUUAGACUAAAGGGAUUAUGUGAUCUCUUGCACAUUUCCAAAACAAAAGAGUGAGGAUGGGGUAAUGUUUCUAAUGCUUUACUAUGACUACUGCUAGGUUAUUUAAUAACACAAAAAUAUAUUGCAUCAGCACGUCUACUGGUUUUUAAAAUUAAAGAGUUCAUCUUGUUUACCUAACAAUAUCGCUAUAAAACUAAGAUUUUUCAAUAGGUUCUUAACACUCACUGGACAUUUUUUACUGCAAGUCAUCUCAACUAAUGUGACAAAGAGGAUGUGUGAACCUUCCAGUAGUCCAGGCUAGGAACCGCCAGACUCCUUCACCUGGGACAAAAUUAAGCAGAUCUCUCUUUCCACUGAAGCCCAGCAUAUAGUGUCCAGGGCCUCCAGUUCUAGAGCUGCUGACCAGGUACAGUGUCUGCCACAAAUAACAUGUACACAGAGGCAAAUAGGAAAUUGACCCAGGGACUUUGUUCAAACAAAAUAAACCUGCAACACUGGAGAUGAAAGAAUAAGGGCUGCAAAACAGGGGAGGGGAGUCACUUUGGGUUUACCCACGCUGUCUUUUGCAGGGUAUACAGGAAGUCUUGAUGAGCUGUGUGCAGUCCAGUUUGGCCGUAUUUGAGACUUACACAUACAUUUUGUCUAGGGACGGGAAUUGCCACCAUUCCUGUUUUGUCACUAAAACUGUGUGACAAAACCAGUUGUUCUUGAGUCCAAAUAAAAGCUACUUUUUUUUUUUUGGCGGGGGGGGGAUAUUGGUAAGUAACCAAUCACAAAGUCAACCAAACAAAUACAUUGGUUUGAGAUGUAGCUGUCUCAUGUAUGAUAACAGCAGCCACUCUAUAGAAAAUUUUCAGAAUAAAAUAUGGCCCAAUCUGUUUUCUCAAGGUAGUUUUCUAAUUAAAAUAAAUAUCAGACAAAAAUGGAGAGUUCAAACCAGUGCCAACUGAAAUGGAGCCAUUUUAAUGAAGGGCGCUGAAUGACUCAUUCUGACCUUUGGCCAAAAUGCAGAGAAAUACCCCUGUAAUAUUGUAAUUUGCAUCUUCUACCUUGAUUAGGUAAGAGUUUGAGCCCUCGGGUAAAAAAGCUGUCUUUGUGUUGUUGAUAUUACAAAAUACUUAAGUAAAAUUUCUGCAGCUCUCCCUUUUCAUCAGUGUUGCAGGUUAACAUAUUCAAAGAAAGAAUAAUCAUGUGCUUGAAUGAUAAUUAAAAAAAAAAACUACUUUUUAAAUUUAAUUAUUUUUAAGACUUUUGCUGUUUACUCAGCACAUUAAGUUGCAGGAGUGCCUUUCAAAUAUAGACACAUCAGAUAAUACCUGUCUAAGUUUUAUUAAGAUGGCUAUUCCAGAAGUGAGUGGCAAUGUGAUUAGAGUUAGAUGCACUGAAUGUGGAGGUCAAUGGAAAGCAUGCCUGCCUGUUGUUUUCUUUGCUUGGGGGAUUGUGCCUGCAGUCAACAGAAGCAGUAGCAGUACCUUAUAGGACCGUAUUAGGCCAGUACAGGGUUUGUUUCCCAUUUCUCCAGAAUGAUGUUCUAAUUGCCUUAAGCACAUGUUUAUUUCCGUCCCUGCUCAGGAAAGCUAUUCAGCUUUUACGUUUAGGUUUUUACUACCAGUCAAAAAUAACAGAAAACUCUGUCCAUCUCUGUUAGUGGUUGUCCCAUGGAUAAUGAUAUGUUUGUUCAUUGUGAACUCUCUUUACUGCAUACUGUAUGUUAGAUAAGCAGGGAUUUAACAGUGACUGGAUAUAUUUGAAUGUCUGGAAGUGAAAUAAAGGGAGUUUCCAAUAAGAUAUCAAACACCGUGUUUCAAGGCUCAGGCACAUCUCUGAGCUCUUAAUUAUGAGAAAUGAUUUAUGUGGGGGACAGCUUAUCAUUGAUCUGCCAGAGGGAGUUCCUUAUGCUUUUGUCUAAAACUGUUGGAGGGGAUAAUGGAAGGGUCUGCAGGUCAGUAUAGCAGUCCAGCUGCACGAGUUAACCUGCAUGCCAGGUACAGCAGCAGUAUCAGGACACAUAUGUACACCUGUAUUUUUUAUUGAAAGCUCCAAGAAAGUAUUAUUGUACAUGUUUUCCAAUUAUAAUUGCAAAUAACUACAAGCAGCAGUUCUUGAAGACAGAGCUAAGUUUUCUGAUAAUGCACGUCUCUAGUCCUGUUACAUGUGUACCAUAUGUUCUUUUUCCCCCCCCUAAAUAUUAUUAUAAACAUUGUGCUAGCCAAAAUCCAUGCAAUUUUGGCUCUAGGGGUUUGUCCUGGGAGUCAUGGUCCUUGAAACAGCCAGGCACACAUUAGAUGUUUUCAAAGCAGAGUAAAGAUCAUGAUCAUGUGCUGUAUCUUUCACAGAUGCAGUGAAAAGGAGUGUACGAACCCUGGCAGGCUUAUCAAUGGGAACAAGACUAAGCUAUUUUUUGCACUUGAUGAGCUCUGGCAGAGAUUCAAAAAGAGGCUUGUUCCAUGGGGCAGGGAGUGCACAGAGAAGUACUCGAUGCCAUGUCUGUUGUUAAGGGGAGUGUUCACUAUCCGGUGUUCCUGCAGCCCCUUUCGGACUAACUGGCUGUAUAACCAAGGAUGACUAGCGGCAGUGUAUCACCCACAGUUCCCUUUUGGCCCUAAAGAAGGAAGCUCUACGAGAAUCGUAGGAACGAACAAACGUUCAGCAAUAAAAGACAGCGGCUGGAAUGUCUAAGAACAAAGAGAGAAUCCAUCAAGAAGGAAGCAGCACAGGAAGGGGGAUUUUCAGUUACAUCAUUCAGGAAACAAUUUCACAGUCAUGCAUUGCACAGCACUGCCUAGAAGAGACUACAGAACAAUCUGCAUGACUCAUCGAGAAACAAUCCUACACAGAUCAGCCAACAACAUCUACAGUUCUAAUGACGAAUGCUGCAGAUAAAUCGAGGGUGGCAGCUUCACGGCAGAUGGAAAGUCUCCAUACCGAGGGGGGGGGGAAACCACCGCAAACCAAGAAGAAAGAAUGCAUGCCUGGCUCCCCGCUGAACUGAAUACGUGCAAACCAGAACGCGAACCCCUCAACACGCCCAAGCGGCUGAACAAGGGGAAGACGCGUCAGCUGUGCAUCAGCCACCGUAGGACUCGCCUCCGUCCAUCUUGGACAGCUUGCUUCUGUUCUGAUUGCUGUUCCUAUUUGCCAUGGACAUCUGGGAUUUAAGUCCACUUCAGCAGAACGGACUUGAGGAUCUUAAAAGGAAUGUUAUUCAGGUGAAAAACACUUCACAGCGAGGGCAUUCCCCUAGCAUUUGACACCAUCUGGCUGCGAGCCUGACUGGAAGCCCAGGUCACGCUGGCAUCUUGGGGUUAGACCGCUCCCUCCCUGCACCUGGCUGCAAGGUCCAAGCUUGUUCUUGCUGCUGUAGACACAGGAGUAACUUUCUCCUGACAACACCUCUCUGUUACCUGACCAGUUGAUUGCUGUAAAGCUUCUGUGUGAGGCCUCUCUCUGAAAGCAUUGAGAGGCAGACCUAGCAAAAUUCGUGAAAGCUGCCUGCCAUGGCCUCUGCGAGUGUAUGGUGCUUGUCAUGGGGACUUCCUUCACUCUGCCCUGGCUCGCAGGAGGUCUGGCUUUCUGCAUUGUUUCUGCACGUCCUACCAGUAGAUGCCUAAAGAAAAUAAAAUCAGAGGGUUGCUUUGAGAGAGAGGCAGCUUCUCUGGCUUCUGGCCUGAGCUAAAAUUGGAUCAAGUAUUCAAGAGGGGAGAAGAGGGAGUGCAAGCACCCAUGUCUCUGAGAGUUGCUAUGUCUGAAAUAGCCCACAGGUGUUGACCUUCAGAGCUGGGCUGCUCUGAUGGGUGGUAAAGUGAGGUAGUCCCCAACAAGCAUCCUUAAGGAAUUUAGAGCAUUCUGAUAAUGUAUGUCUAUAGGUAAGCCUGUUGUCAGUAGUGGUAAGAAUAGCUUCUUGCUUGACAAUGAUUUACUUUAAGUCUCAAGAAAAAGACUUCUCUAGCACUCACACGGAAAAAAAGAGUGUGCGCUUUUUGACAGUGGUUGUUGUUGGUCCUCAGUAUUUGUGGCUUGGAAGGUGGACUUGUGCAGAUAUCACCUCAUGUGUUACCCAGUCCUUAUUGUACCUAAUAGCAGUUUUUACUUUCUGUUGAUAGUGUUCUCAUAUUUGCUUAGUCAUUGUUAAUACAGCCACUGCCUGGUAUUAUGUAAAGGGCUCCUGCUUCAUCCAAAGAGCAAAUAAUGUGAUAAUGGACAUGCAGCAUUAUAAACCUAUGUCUCCUCUUUUAGCCAAAACCUGAGACAAGAUUCAAGUUCAAAUAUGUGUUUGCAAAAAUAAAAAAUGUUGCAGAAAACCUCUGACAUUUACCUUCUGUAUGAGCCUGUUAAAAUAACUGGGAAUUUGGGGUGCCAAGUUAUUGCUGUGAUUCUGCACUUGUAUACUGUGUGCUGUUGCUAUCUUAAAAAAAAAAAAAAAAAAAUCAGAUCAAUUUUGUGCAUGAAUCAGAUGCUAGUCCCUGGGACUGGCAUGGACAACAGGGACCAGCAGCUGGGUGCAUGUGGAGGAACGAUGCCGAUAACAGCCAGAACUGGGUCUACCUCUGAGAGAAUAUUUAUUUGUAAUUGCAUUGUUUUCUGAUUAAGGUAAGAUGCACAAACUGAUUGUUUUGUCAGCUGAAUUGCAACAAUUAGCUCAUUUUCCACGCUAUCAGAGGUACGAAUCAUGAACCUAAAGCUCCAUCAUCGGUGAGGUAAUGCAGGGCUGUCACCAAGUCCUUGCUUUAAUUGCUAGUGUCUUGAAAACAGCUUUAUCUCUGCUUCUCAUCUGCAAAGUGGGGGCUGAUGGGAGCAGCUUUAAAGGUGACCUUGUUAUAAUGGGACAAAUACAGAAAUAGUUUGCUAAAACACUGACAGAUGUCUGAUAGCAUGGAAACCUGGCCUGGGAACCAGCAGCAUCCUUGAAAAGUGCAACUGGCAUCUCUGAAAUGCAGCUGAGGUACCUAAAAAUUCUGGGUAGUGGUGUCCUAUGCCCCCUGUGUUAUAAAAAGUACUUGCUUUCUACAGAACAUGGAGCCUCGCCCCCUCCUCCCCCUCCCAAAAAAAACCAAACAAACAAAAAACUACCUCCAUGUGCAUGAACUCUUUCAUGAGAUCUAGACAAGAUGGGAUGCUUGUUUGGGGGUGCCUGUCAGACUCGAGACUUGGUGGAACAGACCAUCUGUGAAGUUAGACUUUAAACUGUUGUCAACUGGCCCCACCCUUGGGAUUGGUUUGGUGAGUGCCCUACCGGUACUAUGUUGAGAUAUAUAAAUAUGUGCGUAUAUGUAUAUGUAAGUAAUUGUGUUUGUUGCUUUACUAAUGGUAGUUUUGUGGUAACCCGUAAUACUAAAAUAUAUACUUGUUGCUACUAUUGAAAUAUAUACUUGCCUUCUGGUAGUACCUUGGAGUAACUUGAUGUACACUUGUAGUUUUAAUAGUAAGUAUACUUGCUUUACUAAUAGUAAUUUGUAGUAAUUGUAAUAAAGGCAUUUAAGAA